rnacentral:lncRNA from 1 species
GAGAUUUUACUUUUUUUUUUUAUUAUUACCAAGGAUUAAAGGUUACAAAUCAAAUGGGUAUAUAUACAUCAUAGGGCCUAGAAGCUCAAAAAAAAUAAGAAACUAGCAAAGGUCCAAAGAAACAGGGUUUUAGCCCAUUACAUAAUCAAACCCUAAAACUCAAUAAGGACCCGACUCAAAGCUUCAAUCCGGUCACGGGAUUCGGUUCCACAAACCGACAUCGCCAGUACCACGAACCCAUAAUGCCGUCAGCAACCUAUGAUCUCUCGGAACUGCAAUACUCAUCACCAAAAAACCAUCACGAUGCAUAUCUAGGAGCGGGGAACAAUAUGCAUGACUAGAAAAAUAUCACGACAGAAACAAGCAAGCCAAGAGAAGAUCCACACUUGAGACAGAAACCCAAAUUAAAAAGGAGCAGAGUCGCUACUAGAAACCAUCAUCAAACUUCAACAAGCCCAGAAUCACAGAAGUCGAAAUCCAAUUAGGCUUAGCAUACCCUUGGCUUCUACUUAUAGUCGUUAAGGAAUCGAUGCCUUCCCAAUGGCAGCGGUCCCCGAGAUACAUUCUCUGCUCCCUUUAAAACCUCCUAAGCAUAGAAAACCGUAGCCAUGGCCGAACUGGGAAGGAGAAUUUCGGCAUGGAGAAGAGCAAAGGACAUGUAGGCACUAAUCAAAUACCCUCACUUUUAGCAUAAAUCUGCAAAGAAAAAAAAAAAAACAAAAUUGUAUACAUCAAUCCAACAUGGGGCAAGGUAGAACCCACAAUGGGCUGAAGAGAGGACCUUUUCUGCUCUUUAGGGAAGGGGAGGCCGACGAGCGGCAAAGAUAAAUCCUAAAAAGCGGAGAAAAUGACGAAGAAGGAGGGAGAGUUGCUCAAGUCACAAGAGUAUAGAGGCUACUUUACUAAUUUUUUACACCAUAGAGAAAUGAAAGACUAAAUAAGUCUACUCUAUGCUAGAUUGUGCCAUGCAAAUUAAUAGUUAUUAAGGAUUCCAUGAACCUCACCAUUGAUCAAACCAGAUAACAGAAAUCUCAACCCAUGAGAUGUAAAGAUUUGAUCAACACUCUUGAUCCUAUCAAAGUAAACAGACGGCAGAGAAGCCCGGUCUUCCUUAAGACUUGGUAUUGGAUGCAAAUCUGACCGUGAUUAGGAAAGUCUCACUUUACUUCAAUAU